ensembl:misc_RNA Metazoa_SRP Metazoan signal recognition particle RNA
GCCGUGUAUGGUGGCACACGUCUGUAGUCCCAGCUACUUGGGAGGCUGAGUCAAGAGGAUCACUUGAGCCCAGGAGUUCUGGGCUAUUGUGAACUAGGUGAUCGGGCGUCUGCACUAAGUUUGGCAUCAAUAUGGUGAUGUUUUGGGAGCAGGGGACCACCAGGUUGCCUAAGGUGUCUGAGGAGGGGUUUCCAGGUUGGAAAUGGAGCAGUUCGACACCCCCGAGCUGAUCAGUAGUGCGACUGCUCCUGUGAGUAGCCGCUGCACUCCAGCUUGGGCAGCAUAGCGCGACCCCACUUCU